rnacentral:rRNA from 1 species
AUGGGGAUGGCCGUGCUCGGCGAGGCCCAGCGGCAGCGGCGCCGGAGCGUCUACGAGUUCCUGGACGCCACCAGGCCGGCGCGCGGCCAGGCGCUGCGGUGGUGCGAGACGGCGCGGGAGAUGCGCAGGGUGGACGGCGACAUGAAGGAGGCGCGCCUGCUGCUCCGCGGCGCCCUCUGCUGCGUCAAGGACUACGCGUCCGUCUACAGGACGUGGAUCGCCAUGGAGAAGGAGGCCGGCGGCGUCGGCGUCGCCCGGUGGCUCUUCGAGGAGUGGGGCGCCGUCUGCGCCAAGGACGGCGGCCUCCGCAACGAGGGCGACGGCGCCACCGCCGACGCGUACGGCGACUACUGGUGCGCGUACCUCGCGUUCGAGCUCGGCCACGGAGACCUCCGGCGCGCGCGCGCCGUCGCGGCGCGGGCCGUGAGGGCCUGCCCGCGCGACGCCUCGCUGCGCGACACGGUGGAGCUCCGCCUCAGGGACGAGCAGGAGCGGCAGAGGCGGCGGCGUCGGCCGGGGCUGUUCCGCAGCGCCAAGAAGUGGCUGGUGGACGAUCUGCGCGCGUGCUUCAGCUCCGUGGGCGAGCAGCGGAGUACCAGCGGCUGCUUACCGCUCUUCUCCCGGCCGCCGCGGGGGUACCGGCGGCUCGUCACCGACGGCGACGAGUCGCCGUGA